rnacentral:rRNA from 2 species
ACCGGUUUCGGCUGGGGAUUAGUGGCGAACGGGUGAGUAACACGUGGGCAAUCUGCCCUGCACUCUGGGACAAGCCCUGGAAACGGGGUCUAAUACCGGAUAUGACUGCCGACCGCAUGGUCUGGUGGUGGAAAGCUCCGGCGGUGCAGGAUGAGCCCGCGGCCUAUCAGCUUGUUGGUGGGGUGAUGGCCUACCAAGGCGACGACGGGUAGCCGGCCUGAGAGGGCGACCGGCCACACUGGGACUGAGACACGGCCCAGACUCCUACGGGAGGCAGCAGUGGGGAAUAUUGCACAAUGGGCGCAAGCCUGAUGCAGCGACGCCGCGUGAGGGAUGACGGCCUUCGGGUUGUAAACCUCUUUCAGCAGGGAAGAAGCGUGAGUGACGGUACCUGCAGAAGAAGCGCCGGCUAACUACGUGCCAGCAGCCGCGGUAAUACGUAGGGCGCAAGCGUUGUCCGGAAUUAUUGGGCGUAAAGAGCUCGUAGGCGGCUUGUCGCGUCGGAUGUGAAAGCCCGGGGCUUAACUCCGGGUCUGCAUUCGAUACGGGCAGGCUAGAGUUCGGUAGGGGAGAUCGGAAUUCCUGGUGUAGCGGUGAAAUGCGCAGAUAUCAGGAGGAACACCGGUGGCGAAGGCGGAUCUCUGGGCCGAUACUGACGCUGAGGAGCGAAAGCGUGGGGAGCGAACAGGAUUAGAUACCCUGGUAGUCCACGCCGUAAACGUUGGGAACUAGGUGUGGGCGACAUUCCACGUUGUCCGUGCCGCAGCUAACGCAUUAAGUUCCCCGCCUG